rnacentral:misc_RNA from 1 species
UGCUUUAAUAACACCUGAAAGUCAAGCAUUCAGUCCUUUACCUGAGUGGUAUUUGCAUCUUUGUAUUCAUUCCCAUUUCCUCCAUAAUAAGUAAUUCAAGUGAAAUAUAUGUAUUUUGUGGCAUUCAUGUGAAAAAUAUGGCAUAGCAGUUUAUGCCUGCCUAAUAAAUUUGGUUUAUUGAUUAAUUAACGUAAGCUUCACCUCUGCAGGAAAAUCAAGAUCACGGCUUCCUCCUCAUGAUGUAGAGACGUGUAUUAAUUUUUCUUUCUUUUUCCAUUAUCAAUUGGAUGAUCCAUAAUCAUGUCUAAUGCUUGCUUGCUUCAUAUACUUACUAGGUUCAUAUUCGUGGUUCAGGGUUCUGUGACUCUUACUAAUACAUCUAGUGCUGGUCACAAACUAACGGUAAGAGUGUCUGGUAUACAUUCAUUAACUGCAUAUGAACGCAAACUGGCAACAUUUGUACAUGUGAAGAUAUGUGUUUUAGCUUUAGUUUUCUAGUUUGUCAAUGUAGGCCUCAUAAUUUUGAUGUUAUACUGUGGUUAUAUAGGUGGAUUCAUAUGCUUAUCUCCCUCCCAAUUUCGAACAUUCUGUGAAGUGCGAUGUAUCUCCUACUCUUGUUGUCUUUGAAAAAAGGUUUGUUAAUUUAUGAAUUAUGGUUAAGCAAAUGAAUAGCCAUCCCAUCUCACAUUUGCCAUUCCUUUUCUGUUUUACCUGUCUGUGUGUGAGCAGCCUUACGGAUAGCAUUUGUGCUAUAAAAUUGGUUGAAUGCUCAAUUUUAUUGUAAAGUUAUGAUAUCAAGAUAUUGUCAAGGCUAAUGAUGAUUGGUGCAUAAUCCAUUGCUUUAGAUCUCUCUUUUAUCGGUUUUACUAUUUAAUCUACUGAAGUUUAGCUAUUAAAAUAUUCUUAAUAAUUAUGAGCACCAAAUCUAUUUCUUAUCCUUCUAGGUAUGCUUCUCUAGACAAUCUAAUUACUAAACAGAUUCUGGGUUCAACAGACAAGCAGGUACUUCUUGGGACUCCAGUGGAGGUAAGUUGCGAAUUGUUGUUUUGCUAAUAGUUUUAACUUUGAAAUGACGCUGAAGAGUAUUUAGAGUAUCACACAUGGAUUUAUAUAGUUUUCUUUCAAGUCAGACAGGGAUACCUUUAUAUUCAUCCUUAAGUCUCCAUUAAUCAUUCUUGUCAGAAAUUAAGGAUAUAAUAAAUUCUUCAUAUUUUUGAGCUUUAUUUUACUUUCAAAGUAUCUGAAUUUUAUGAUACUGAAUAUUUUUACUAUGAAUCUGCACUAACAAUAACUAUGCUUGGCACAAACAUUGCAACACUUGAUCUU